rnacentral:rRNA from 1 species
AAGAUUUAUCGGAGAAGGAUUAGCCCGCGUUGGAUUAGGUAGUUGGUGGGGUAAUGGCCUACCAAGCCUACGAUCCAUAGCUGGUUUGAGAGGAUGAUCAGCCACACUGGGACUGAGACACGGCCCAGACUCCUACGGGAGGCAGCAGUGGGGAAUCUUAGACAAUGGGGGAAACCCUGAUCUAGCCAUGCCGCGUGAGUGAUGAAGGCCUUAGGGUUGUAAAGCUCUUUCAGCUGGGAAGAUAAUGACGGUACCAGCAGAAGAAGCCCCGGCUAACUCCGUGCCAGCAGCCGCGGUAAUACGGAGGGGGCUAGCGUUGUUCGGAAUUACUGGGCGUAAAGCGCACGUAGGCGGACUGGAAAGUUGGGGGUGAAAUCCCGGGGCUCAACCUCGGAACUGCCUCCAAAACUAUCAGUCUGGAGUUCGAGAGAGGUGAGUGGAAUACCGAGUGUAGAGGUGAAAUUCGUAGAUAUUCGGUGGAACACCAGUGGCGAAGGCGGCUCACUGGCUCGAUACUGACGCUGAGGUGCGA